ensembl:snoRNA
AGGUGCAUCCUAAUCCCUGCUGGCUAGCCAGUGGCCUGGAGGGUUCGCUUGUGGACCAGAGCACCCUGGACGCCCUCCCAGGAAGACCAGGCUGCUGUGUCCUGGCCUGGGGCUGGGUUCCUGGACAUUC